GCAGCCUGCAACUCGGCUGCAUGAAGCUGGAAUCGCUAGUAAUCGCGGAUCAGAAUGCCGCGGUGAAUACGUUCCCGGGUCUUGUACACACCGCCCGUCACACCAUGGGAGCCGGGAAUGCCCGAAGUCAGUGGCCCAACCGCAGGGAGGGAGCUGCCGAAGGCAGGCCCGGUGACUGGGGUGAAGUCGUAACAAGGUAUC
rnacentral:rRNA from 1 species